GUAAGUUCUUCCAUUGUUGCAUCAACUGCAUUUCACUGUGAGGUGUGACCACCAACAGCAGAAAAAGGAAUCUGGAAAAACUCAUGGAAGGCAGCAGUGGCAGCUCUUGUAACCCUCCAGCAGGCAAAGCAGCAAUAUCAGAGUUGGAAACACUGCAGAAACAGUACGAGGAGAAACGAGUGAAGAUCCAAGAGCUCCAUAAACAAAUCGAAAUCGCAAAGCUUCUAUUGGAGGAGGAGAAGAAGAAGUAGGAAAUACCAGAUGAGAAAAAAAAGAAGCUUUCAAUGAACUGUGCCGGAAAUACACCAGUCUGAGAGAGGAAUAUAUUGCACUGUC